rfam:Brachypodium distachyon strain Bd21 chromosome 1, whole genome shotgun sequence.
CUGGUACUCCCUCCGUUCAACAAAGGAUAUCUCAACUUUGAUCAAAUUUGAAUGCAUCUAUACAUUAAGUCAUAUUUAGAUACAUCCAAAUUUUGAUAAACUUGAGACAUUUUUUGUUGGACAGAGGGAGUACAUU